rnacentral:lncRNA from 1 species
CGAGGGUGACUGCAUCCUCUGCUCCCUCCCGGCUUUGAGCCCUCCCUCCCUGAAUAGCAAGGCGUCUUCACCUGCUUGAAAGACACUCAGGAUCUGCCUGAAGAGGCCGAAGUCAGGCUCAGUGGCUCUCCCACUCACCGCAGCCCUGCAGCCCAAUGAGCGAGUGCCCACAGGCCCCCAGCACCCUGGACCGGUGACUUAUCCAUCAGCGGGCAGAACAGUGUGGUCGGCAAGGACAGAGGGUGCCACGGCCCCAGCCCCACCGCACAUUUCCUGGUGGCUGUGGCCUCCUUACUCUGGCCUCUUCACUUCCCCUUGACAGGGGUUAGGGAGGGGGAGAGGGCAGAGGCCAUGAAGGAUGCUUCUGCUUCUGCAAGGGGCUGACCGGGACCCUGCUCAGAGCGACACCUUACAGGUGUUACAGGUCCAGACUGCCCUCCUCUCUUUCCGAAAUCCCGAAAGCUCUGCACACACAAAGCCUGUCCUUUUCUCCCAGCUGUUUGGCACUAAAUCUCAUUAUUGGUGAGCUGCUUGAAGGGCAAUGCUCCCUGUCGGUUAUGGAGUCAAACAAUACAUUCACAUCUGUCCUUGAUCUGGCGAGUCAAGAGCGUAAACACCCAGCAACACAAAGGCGUCCUUCCGCGCACCUUCCAGAGGGGCGGUUUCCACCGCCCGUGAGGGUGAGCCAGAGCUGCUUUACAUAUGUUUUUGAUGCCGAAACUGUAACAUUUGACUUCUUUCUCCUGCUCCGAAGUGUUAACCAAAUAAAUAAGAAUUAGAUGAUGUUUGCGUAAACCUAG